rnacentral:lncRNA from 1 species
GAAACGCGCGGCCGCCCAGGGCUGCCAAUGCCCCGGCGGCGCUGUUCUGAACAAACUGUUUUGGCCAGCCUGUGAAAUCCCUGGAAAUUGACGAUUCCAGCAAAGCGUCGUGAACUGGGAAAGCACCAAGUGUUCUACUCAAAAGCCGCAAAGGGACAAAACAAGCUAGACCCGAGGCCCAGAUGAAGCGGAAGGAGGAGGCUUGCGAGAGGAAGUUCAAGGGGAAUUGGAGUUAUAGUGAGUGAAACAAGAUAAUUCCUGAAGAAGCAUACUUUGAAAAAAGUCUAAGGAUCACUUGUGAGAACUUUGAGAAGCAUCCAAAGAGAUUGAAGAAUUUUUUUGUUUUAGUAGCAAAAUCUUACUUAUUGUACAAUUAUUUAGAACUGUGAUAGAAGAGUUUUUAUUGUUGCCUUUCCUGACUUCAUUGCAUUUUAAAGGCAUUUUUAUUAAUAAAU